CCUACGGGAGGCAGCAGUGGGGAAUUUUGGACAAUGGGCGCAAGCCUGAUCCAGCCAUGCCGCGUGCGGGAAGAAGGCCUUCGGGUUGUAAACCGCUUUUGUCAGGGAAGAAAUCCUUUGAGUUAAUACCUCGGGGGGAUGACGGUACCUGAAGAAUAAGCACCGGCUAACUACGUGCCAGCAGCCGCGGUAAUACGUAGGGUGCGAGCGUUAAUCGGAAUUACUGGGCGUAAAGCGUGCGCAGGCGGUCUUGCAAGACAGGUGUGAAAUCCCCGGGCUUAACCUGGGAACUGCACUUGUGACUGCAAGGCUGGAGUACGGCAGAGGGGGAUGGAAUUCCGCGUGUAGCAGUGAAAUGCGUAGAUAUGCGGAGGAACACCGAUGGCGAAGGCAAUCCCCUGGGCCUGUACUGACGCUCAUGCACGAAAGCGUGGGGAGCAAACAGGAUUAGAUACCCUGGUAGUCCACGCCCUAAACGAUGUCAACUGGUUGUUGGACGGCUUGCUGUUCAGUACGAAGCUAACGCGUGAAGUUGNGUGCGNGGGNGGACGGUCCGGCGAGUUAGAACGUACGAAGAAGUUAGCGGCGNGAGACGNGCCGACGGACGACGACGAGGGAGGAGG
rnacentral:rRNA from 1 species